GAAUAUUUUUCCAGAACAGGCGAGAAGAUAAUAACGUUCAUUCCUAUUCAUGAGGGUUCCCUUGUAAUUCAAUGAAAAGUGGCAUAAACAAACAGUGAAUGUGAUAAAUAAAACGUACACUGGUACAGAAGCGAGAAACUGGAGGUUGAAGUGAAAAUUGCAAUUACCUACAUACGUUGCAUGGAAUGAAAUACCCCGUUUAAAACAGUGUGUUAUGAAAAGUUGUGAGUAAUUUAAUUGCCGACGUACGGAUGUAUGAACUCUCCUAUUGUGAAUAUAAAUUGCAAAACUUGAUCGCUGGAUAAUUAAUAAUAACGGCUAAUAAGAGCGAGGGGAAAGUUAUAAGCCCCUCGUACUUUCGUUCGACAAUUGUUAACGCAGACUAAUGAAAUAAUUUUAGCUCGUUGAACGUCUGCUUCAAUUCAUUUAAAGAACAAGUUCGAAAUCGCUGGGAACAACUGCGCAAGAAAUUUUCAGUGAUUGUUAUCUUCUCCGUGAUUAUUUCAAAGAUGGCUGUUGAAACGGAAAAGUUUGGAACGGUUCCCGGAAGCUCGUCAUUGUCCCACAGAAGUUGAAAGAGAAUUUGAUUCUCAUUGUCAAGAAAAUGCUUCGAGGACGAAGUUCGGAUCAUUAAACACGCGUAUUUACACGUGGUUUUAUAUCUAAUCCUAACACUCAUGUACAGAGGAAUAUUGUACAUUAUGACCGUGGAUUUAUGGCCAAGCAUGGCCGCAACUUCGUUGAAGAAAGUGCCGCAGGUGAACUGAAAUUUUAUGGGGGAUAGCGUGUACGUGUGGCAAAGAUUCUGCAGGCGGAAAAGACACUGAAGUAUAAAAUUCCCAUGUGAAAUGACGGAAAUGGAUCGUGAUAUUAGUGCAGUGAACGGAAAUGCGAAUAAGUGAUACUCUUGCAGGCUGGAACACGUGGCGUCGAAGAAAAUAACUAUAUUUACGCCUAGUAUUAUGGCCCAUUGUUUCCUGCAGGUGGAUUAAUUUUUCACAUAUAAUCCGGUACAUAAUUGGAUGUACCGGGAACUUAAACUUGGUUCUCACCAAUGUGGAAAAAUUCUGAUGACUGUUGCAAUUCAAGGAUGCUGGUGAUCUAAAAAUCAAUACUUUUUAUUCGUGUUAUUACGAGAUGAUCACACUAUGAGUAUUUAUCGGGUUUAAUAUUCUUAAACUACUGCGAAGAUUCUUUUAUAAGUCUAGAAAUAAGAAAUACUAAAAUUAUGAACAAGAUCCUACAUUUUCUCUUUCGGUAGUCAACUGAAAUUUGCCGUUUGUUGAUGACAAGCUAUUUGGAUGCAAAAUAGUAUUAUUAGAUAUGAAAUAAUCUCUUGGAAGAAAAUAAGUCGUCGUAGAAUAAAAUGGAACGAAUCUACUAUAUUUUCAAUCAUUUUGAAGCGAUUUGAAAUAAAAUGUUAAUAUUUCAUCGUUUCUGUAUAAUUGAAGAAUUUUAUAUUUUCAUAUCAUAUCAUGGGCGAUUAUAUAUUGUGACGAAAUUAGUGAAAAAUAUUGGUUUUUUGCUUAUAAGCCUCUUUAUCGAACACAUCACUCUGUCGGAAUAACAAUCCAGUAAACCAUAGCGAUAAAGACAGCAACCAAAAUUUGAAAAAUCAUUAAUUAUCGCACACAAAUUUUCCGGCA